rnacentral:lncRNA from 1 species
AUGUCACAGCCAUGUUUUUGUUUUACAGAUUUAGAUCGUAAAAUAAUUUCUUGCAUUUCUAUAAGAAGCAGAGGUCACAGACUUGUUUUUGUUUUCCAGUGGUUUAACAUACGCUUCUGGCAUGUGUGCGCUGAGAUGCUGGACCACAGGAGGACAGACACGCUGUACGGACGCGUAACCAGGGAGAUGCCACUUUAACUGCAAGGAGAUCAGGGAGAUGCUCCGGCCUUCUGGAUACAGACAGCCCAGGCCCUGUGGAGAAAGAAGCAGCACAAACCACAUAUUACUAUUUGUUUAGAUAUGUAUUAGUAUUGCUUAAUUUGUGUGUUCUUGUUUAAUGUUCUGUGUCUGACAUGUUCUUUUAACUGCUGACAUUUUAAUUUCUCCUCUUACUCAUUCCACUUCUUUUUUUAUCACAAUCUCUGCCAGUUCAUCAGUUUUGUACUUGUUGACAUUUUAUUUAUUGUUCAUUUUUAUGCUGUGCUUUGUUGUAUAUAGUUAUUUCGUGUUCCCGGAAUAAAAUGUCCCUUAACCCAUUGUUUAAUUGCAUUCUUUUCAUUUACUAAUACAAGUGCUUUCAUUAGGUAUAAAUAUUACAACAUAUAAGCACUUCACUGGUGUACAGACUAUUGACCUAAACUCACAAACUGUCACACAGCGACUUGUAAGAAUAAAUGUGAGUGAGCUGUACAGAUCUAGUGCUUAAUUCCCUUUUAUUUUGAAAUGGUGAUGAACAUGAAAAAUCAUGAAAGAAUGGUAGAAACCUCAGUUUGUUUUCUAUGCCAAGAGUUCAAAAGAUAGCAUCCAUUCAAUUGUUUUAGUAAAAAUAAAAAAAAAACUUUUUUUCUGUUUAACUCUUACGGUUUUUUUAUUCGCUUUGGUACUAUUUUCACAAGUAAGGUGUACAUUUUCAAAACUCUUAGUACAAAAAUCCAAACUGAUCACACUUGUAACACAGCUAGUCAUUAUUUCAAAACCUGAUCUCAUGCUUUCAUUACAGUUAUACACUUUUCAGUCCACAUAGUCAUUGUUUCAAACACAAGAUUAUUGUAAUAUGUAAUGAGAACAUUUGGUUUAAUGACAUAAACACAAUGGUAUGAUCUUCUUUCAAUGUAGUACUUUUAACAUCAACUGCAAACAAUGCAAGAUACAUGUUUCAAAUCACCAUUGUUGCUGAAAUAAUGCCACAUUAGAAAAUACACAUGCAUGCACUUAUGUAAUUAAAUCCAUAAUUUAUGUUAAACGUUAUCAGAAGGUGUUAUGAAGCACAACCAUGAGGUUCUGUGCUAACAGAGUUUGCUGGCAAUACAGUAAAUGAUUUCACUCUAUACCAAUUUACUGAAUCUAUACUGUAGUGGACCUUUAGAGAGGAGGGGUGAGUUACAGUAAUUAGGCAGUCUCUACCAUGGUAAUCUGUUUACAGUAUCGCAUACAUACUCUAAUGUAAAAUGCUGUAUUUGAUGCCAUCUGUCUCCCUUCUACUGAUGCAUCUCUGAUCAAUCUGAUGUUUUACAGUCAUUGACUGUUUCCUCUCCCUUAUACUCUAUUCUGCUUUACAGUAUUUUCACAAAUGGCAAAUUUCUCUGUAUCUCUCUCUCUCUCUCUCUCUCUCUCACACACACACACACACACGUGUGUACACUAAUUGCACAUCGUGGUGGUUAUUAUCUAUAAUCACUUAUAGUAAAAUAAUUACAAACAUUUGGUUAUCCACAUCAGAAAUUGUAAACAAGUUCUAUAGAAACUGUGCAUUGAAUCAAUAUUUAUAGAGAUGAACCAAAUGAUUCAUUGAUUAACCAUUGAGAUCAGUUGGAUUAAAUCAUAGACAAAUGUAGUAAACUGAACAAGAAGAGAUGCAAAUCAAAGGUUUGAUAGUAAGAGCUUUAUGAAAGGCAGUUACUUUGAAUGAAACAUUUAUGUAGGCGAAACACUUAUUUUGUGUUGUGAAAAGGAUACUUUGUGAUUUUGAGUAUUGUACUUAC